rnacentral:rRNA from 1 species
UACAGAGGCGGCAAGCGUUGUUCGGAAUUAUUGGGCGUAAAGAGCACGUAGGCGGCUGUGUAAGUCGGUUGUGAAAGCCUUCCGCUUAACGGAAGAACGGCAUCCGAUACUGCAUAGCUCGAGUGCGGGAGGGGAGAGUGGAACUUCUGGUGGAGCGGUGAAAUGCGUAGAUAUCGGGAGGAACACCAGUGGCGAAGGCGGCAUCCUGGCCAUGUCCUGACGCUCAGGGGCGAAAGCGUGGGGAGCAAAC